UUAAACGAUUUUUAAGUUUUAAUUGAAAUGAAGUUUGAGGUUAAGUCAUUUUAAACCUGUCAUUGUCAAAAAGAUUUUUAAGGAUGUUUUUAAUAUUUUAGAUUUAAUAACGACUUUUAAUUACAAAAAAAUACCGCAAUGGAAUUUAAAAAACUACAAGUAAUGAAAAAACGGCGUACACAAGAGCGGAAGGAUACAUAAUUAACGGUCUUUGUUCAGAAUCCCCAGACAUGCCCACAAAUAACCUAGAAGCUGAUAAA